rnacentral:rRNA from 1 species
GAUGAACGCUGGCGGCGUGCUUAACACAUGCAAGUCGAACGAUGAAGCCCAGCUUGCUGGGUGGAUUAGUGGCGAACGGGUGAGUAACACGUGAGUAACCUGCCCUUAACUCUGGGAUAAGCCUGGGAAACUGGGUCUAAUACCGGAUAGGAGCGUCCACCGCAUGGUGGGUGUUGGAAAGAUUUAUCGGUUUUGGAUGGACUCGCGGCCUAUCAGCUUGUUGGUGAGGUAAUGGCUCACCAAGGCGACGACGGGUAGCCGGCCUGAGAGGGUGACCGGCCACACUGGGACUGAGACACGGCCCAGACUCCUACGGGAGGCAGCAGUGGGGAAUAUUGCACAAUGGGCGCAAGCCUGAUGCAGCGACGCCGCGUGAGGGAUGACGGCCUUCGGGUUGUAAACCUCUUUCAGUAGGGAAGAAGCGAAAGUGACGGUACCUGCAGAAGAAGCACCGACUAACUACGUG